CCGCGGUCGGCUGGUGUGUGGUCCCUGACGAGGCUGAGGCUGGCAGCUUGGUCCCUGACUUCCUCUCGUAAGCGAGUUUCUAAGCGCCCGAGAAGAUGCUGCAGACUCAUUUGCAGUUACCUCAGAGGCCCAGGAAACCCAUGAUGUAAUCUUCAGAAAAGAACAGGAGAAAAUGUCUGGAGAGAAAAAGAGCCAAUCCAGGCCUUGCAUGUGGAAACAGCUAGGGAGAUGGGUUGUGCUAAUAAAAGCACAGAAUCAAAUGUAUGGGACACAGUAGCUCCACUGUACUCAGCACUGGUAAGAGUGAAAUAUUGUGCUCUAUUCUGAGAACACUUUUUUAAGGAGAUCAUGAUCAAAGUGAUGUACAGCCAGAGGUUCAGCCAUAAUAAAGAUGAAGAACAGCAUUUAUGGAGCUAUAUCAUCAGAUGUUUCCAUUGGAAAUUAUGAGUCAAGGGGAAAUUUUCUCUUGGGAUAUUUUCCCACUCACUGGAAUAAUGGAAUACUAAGAACCAGAACAACUACAUUUGCCCUUAAUAAAUUCUCUGGUGCACCGUGACAGAGAAACUUAUCCCAAAGAUUAUGAUAUAGAGGGUCCUGAAGAAGUUAAAAAACUGUGUAAUUCAACAUAUUGGCGACUUGGAACCAACGAACCCCCAAUUUGGAUAUCAGAAACACAUGAGAAAAUGGCACAAGUUUGUUUAAACACAGAAUUGGCUGAAAUAAAGAGCAAGGCUUUAUUGAAUGAGGAAACGAUGAGCUCUGGAAUUAUUGAAAGGGACACUGGAUUGCCUGCCACAGGUUUUGGAGCUCUCUUUCCUAGACACCCAUCAGAUUGGUGUGCAUUGACAACAUAUGCUGAAGAAUAUGCUCCACCGUAUCAAUAUCAGCCACGUGGUUAUCCUUGUCAAGAUGAUGAUUAUUCAGUUGUCUACAGAAAAUGCCGUUCUCAGUUCACAGAUCUAAAUGGUUCCAAAAGAUUUGGCAUCAACACCUGGCAUGAUGAGAGUGGGACUUAUGCCAAUUCAUAUGUAAAACGAAAACUCUACCCAUUUACCAGUGGCCUUGUUGUUCCCUUUUUAAAAUAAUAUAUGGAAUCAGAUUCUAUAACUAAUGAAAGUGUGAGGAGAUCUGAUGACUUGCUUCACAGAGAAACUGCUGAAAACUACUUUAAAAAAUAUUAAAGCCUCUGGAAAUGGUCCUAAGAACAAACAGCAAGUGAAGAAACAUCUAUUCAAGAAAAUCUACAAAAAUUUGUUCCUCCUCAAAGGCUGUAGAUAAUAUCCUGAGCCACGUCCUGUGAGCUGUCUUAUAGAUACAGAAACCCCCACCAGGUGGAAGAAGUGAACUACAUGAUGACCAGGCUGCAGCCAUGACAUAAGCUGCCACAAUUCCGAGAAUUGGCCUCAAAGAAAUGGGAACAAAUAGACCACGGAACUGAAGAUUAACUGCACUUAAAACAUCAAGAUGAUGCUGGUCAGACCACUGAUGACCAGUUUCAAGACGACUCUCAGAGCUGACUGUGCUGUUUCUACAUGUGGCCCCCUCCCUCUGUCUACAAAAGCUCUUGUCCACUGAUUGUGUGGGGGGGAGUCAGCCUUUGGACAGGAGUCCGCUCUCCGCCCUGCCCCCUUCACUGGUUGCCGGCCUCAAAAAUAAAGCAAACUUUC